ACAUGAAGCUGGAAUCGCUAGUAAUCGCGGAUCAGAAUGCCGCGGUGAAUACGUUCCCGGGUCUUGUACACACCGCCCGUCACACCAUGGGAGUCGGAAAUGCCCGAAGUCUGUGACCCAACCUACGGGGAGGGAGCAGCCGAAGGCAGGUCGGAUGACUGGGGUGAAGUCGUAACAAGGUACC
rnacentral:rRNA from 1 species